rnacentral:rRNA from 1 species
CCUACGGGAGGCAGCAGUGGGGAAUAUUGCACAAUGGGGGGAACCCUGAUGCAGCAAUGCCGCGUGGGUGAAGAAGCACUCCGGUGCGUAAAGCCCUGUCAGCAGGGAAGAAAAUGACAGUACCUGGACAAGAAGCCCCGGCUAACUACGUGCCAGCAGCCGCGGUAAUACGUAGGGGGCAAGCGUUAUCCGGAUUUACUGGGUGUAAAGGGAGCGCAGGCGGCGUGGCAAGUCAGAUGUGAAAACCCGGGGCCCAACCCCGGGAGUGCAUUUGAAACUGCCAUGCUGGAGUGCCGGAGAGGUAAGCGGAAUUCCUAGUGUAGCGGUGAAAUGCGUAGAUAUUAGGAGGAACACCAGUGGCGGAGGCGGCUUACUGGACGGUAACUGACGCUGAGGCUCGAAAGCGUGGGGAGCAAACAGGAUUAGAUACCCCAGUAGU